AAAUGAAUAGACGGGGGCCCGCACAAGCGGAGGAACAUGUGGUUUAAUUCGAUGAUACGCGAGGAACCUUACCCGGGCUCGAACGACAGGGGAAUAUGGGGGAAACUUCAUAGCCAGCAAUGGCCGCUGUCGAGGUGCUGCAUGGUUGUCGUCAGCUCGUGCCGUGAGGUGUCGGCUUAAGUGCCAUAACGAGCGCAACCCUUAUCUUUAGUUGCCAGCGGGUCAUGCCGGGGACUCUAGAGAAACUGCCAGCGUAAGCUGUGAGGAAGGUGGGGAUGACGUCAAAUCAGCACGGCCCUUACGUCCGGGGCGACACACGUGUUACAAUGGUCGGUACAGAGGGCAGCUACCUGGUGACAGGAUGCGAAUCUCGAAAGCCGAUCUCAGUUCGGAUCGGAGUCUGCAACUCGACUCCGUGAAGCUGGAUUCGCUAGUAAUCGCGCAUCAGCCAUGGCGCGGUGAAUACGUUCCCGGGCCUUGUACACACCGCCCGU
rnacentral:rRNA from 1 species